GACGAACGCUGGCGGCGUGCUUAACACAUGCAAGUCGAACGGAAAGGCCCCCUUGUGGGGUACUCGAGUGGCGAACGGGUGAGUAACACGUGAGUAACCUACCCUUGACUUUGGGAUAACUUCAGGAAACUGGGGCUAAUACCGGAUAGGAGCUCCUGCUGCAUGGUGGGGGUUGGAAAGUUUCGGCGGUUGGGGAUGGACUCGCGGCUUAUCAGCUUGUUGGUGGGGUAGGCUCACCAAGGCUUUGACGGGUAGCCGGCCUGAGAGGGUGACCGGCCACAUUGGGACUGAGAUACGGCCCAGACUCCUACGGGAGGCAGCAGUGGGGAAUAUUGCACAAUGGGCGGAAGCCUGAUGCAGCAACGCCGCGUGCGGGAUGACGGCCUUCGGGUUGUAAACCGCUUUCGCCUGUGACGAAGCGUGAGUGACGGUAAUGGGUAAAGAAGCACCGGCUAACUACGUG
rnacentral:rRNA from 1 species